rnacentral:rRNA from 1 species
UACGGGAGGCAGCAGUGGGGAAUAUUGCACAAUGGGCGCAAGCCUGAUGCAGCCGUGCCGCGUGUAUGAAGAAGGCCUUCGGGUUGUAAAGUACUUUCAGUCGUGAGGAAGGUGUUAAGGUUAAUAACCUUAGCAAUUGACGUUAGCGACAGAAGAAGCACCGGCUAACUCCGUGCCAGCAGCCGCGGUAAUACGGAGGGUGCGAGCGUUAAUCGGAAUUACUGGGCGUAAAGGGCACGCAGGCGGUUAAUUAAGUUGGAUGUGAAAUCCCCGGGCUUAACCUGGGAAUGGCAUUCAAGACUGGUUAGCUAGAGUCUUGUAGAGGGGGUAGAAUUCCAUGUGUAGCGGUGAAAUGCGUAGAGAUGUGGAGGAAUACCGGUGGCGAAGGCGGCCCCUGGACAAAGACUGACGCUCAUGUGCGAAAGCGUGGGGAGCGAAACAGGGAUU